UACGAAGGGUGCAAGCGUUUAAUCGGAAUUACUGGGCGUAAAGGGGUGCGUAGGCGGUUGUUUAAGUCUGUCGUGAAAUCCCCGGGCUCAACCUGGGAAUGGCGAUGGAUACUGGGCAGCUAGAGUGUGUCAGAGGAUGGUGGAAUUCCCGGUGUAGCGGUGAAAUGCGUAGAGAUCGGGAGGAACAUCAGUGGCGAAGGCGGCCAUCUGGGACAACACUGACGCUGAAGCACGAAAGCGUGGGGAGCAAACAGG
rnacentral:rRNA from 1 species